GGAUGCGAUCAUACCAGCACUAAAUCACCGGAUCCCAUCAGAACUCCGAAGUUAAGCUUGCUUGGGCGAGAGUAGUACUAGGAUGGGUGACCUCCUGGGAAGUCCUCGUGUUGCAUUCC
rnacentral:rRNA from 1 species